CAGCCGCCGCGGGAAUACGAAGGGUGCAAGCGUUACUCGGAAUUACUGGGCGUAAAGCGUGCGUAGGUGGUGGUUUAAGUCCGUUGUGAAAGCCCUGGGCUCAACCUGGGAAUUGCAGUGGAUACUGGGUCACUAGAGUGUGGUAGAGGAUAGUGGAAUUUCCGGUGUAGCAGUGAAAUGCGUAGAGAUCGGAAGGAACAUCUGUGGCGAAGGCGACUAUCUGGGCCAACACUGACACUGAGGCACGAAAGCGUGGGGAGCAAACAGGAUUAGAUACCCCCGUAGUCCCUGUCUCUUAUAU
rnacentral:rRNA from 1 species